rnacentral:rRNA from 1 species
UACGAAGGGGGCUAGCGUUGCUCGGAAUCACUGGGCGUAAAGGGUGCGUAGGCGGGUUUUUAAGUCAGGGGUGAAAUCCUGGAGCUCAACUCCAGAACUGCCUUUGAUACUGAAGAUCUUGAGUCCGGGAGAGGUGAGUGGAACUGCGAGUGUAGAGGUGAAAUUCGUAGAUAUCCGCAAGAACACCAGUGGCGAAGGCGGCUCACUGGCCCGGUACUGACGCUGAGGCACGAAAGCGUGGGGAGCAAACAGG